UCGGCGGCGCUCUGUCCUCUCCCGGGGCAGACUCUGUGCGCCUGGGAGCUCUUUCGCCUUCCUCUUCGUGGGUUCAUAGGGCCUUUCAGGGAGAGAGAAUUUGCGCCGUUCGAGUCAUCUUGACUCCGUCCCAGGAGUCCUCCCGCUUCUAGGACUUGGCGAUUCCUGAGAGUUCCGGUGAGCUCUGGAGCAGAGUUGGUUCUAGAAGGGCCGCUUCCUUUCCUUUUUAAAAUUUUCUUUCCUUUUCUUAUGCAAAUGAAUAUUUCAUUUGAGAA